rnacentral:rRNA from 1 species
UACGUAGGGGGGCAAGCGUUGUCCGGAUUUAUUGGGCGUAAAGAGCGUGUAGGCGGCCAGACAGGUCCGUUGUGAAAACUGGAGGCUCAACCUCCAGACGUCGAUGGAAACCGUCUGGCUAGAGUCCGGAAGAGGAGAGUGGAAUUCCUGGUGUAGCGGUGAAAUGCGCAGAUAUCAGGAAGAACACCCGUGGCGAAAGCGGCUCUCUGGGACGGUACUGACGCUGAGACGCGAAAGCGUGGGGAGCGAACAGG